rnacentral:rRNA from 1 species
ACGGCUCAGUAACACGUAUCCAACCUUCCCAUAACUCUGGGAUAGCCUUUCGAAAGAAAGAUUAAUACCGGAUGGUACUUUUUCAAGGCAUCUUGAGAAAGUUAAAGAUUUAUUGGUUAUGGAUGGGGAUGCGUUCCAUUAGAUAGUUGGUGUGGUAACGGCUCACCAAGUCUUCGAUGGAUAGGGGUUCUGAGAGGAAGGUCCCCCACAUUGGUACUGAGACACGGACCAAACUCCUACGGGAGGCAGCAGUGAGGAAUAUUGGUCAAUGGGCGAGAGCCUGAACCAGCCAAGUAGCGUGAAGGAUGAAGGUCCUAUGGAUUGUAAACUUCUUUUAUAGUAGAAUAAAGUGAUCCACGUGUGGAUUUUUGUAUGUAUACUAUGAAUAAGGAUCGGCUAACUCCGUGCCAGCAGCCGCGGUAAUACGGAGGAUCCGAGCGUUAUCCGGAUUUAUUGGGUUUAAAGGGUGCGUAGGCGGAAUAAUAAGUCAGUUGUGAAAGUUUGCGGCUCAACCGUAAAAUUGCAGUUGAUACUGUUAUUCUUGAGUGUACAUAAGGUAGGCGGAAUUCGUGGUGUAGCGGUGAAGUGCUUAGAUAUCACGAAGAACUCCAAUUGCGAAGGCAGCUUACCGGGGUACAACUGACGCUGAGGCACGAAAGUGUGGGUAUCAAACAGGAUUAGAUACCCUGGUAGUCCACACAGUAAACGAUGAAUACUCGCUGUUUGCGAUAUACCGCAAGCGGCCAAGCGAAAGCAUUAAGUAUUCCACCUGGGGAGUACGCCGGCAACGGUGAAACUCAAAGGAAUUGGCGGGGGAGCAC